ensembl:snoRNA
UGGGAGGCUGAUACACAAACUGGGCUGAAGCAGUGCUCUGAUUGUCAUCACUCUACCUCUCUAGAACACUGACUUUCAGUGACUGGCAUGAAUUGAGUAAAAUCUUAAUGGAUGGGCAGGUUUUU